rnacentral:rRNA from 1 species
CCUACGGGAGGCAGCAGUGGGGAAUAUUGCACAAUGGGCGAAAGCCUGAUGCAGCGACGCCGCGUGCGGGAUGACGGCCUUCGGGUUGUAAACCGCUUUCAGCUCUGACGAAGCUUUUGUGACGGUAGGAGCAGAAGAAGCACCGGCUAACUACGUGCCAGCAGCCGCGGUAA